GGAUCCGUACAUGACACUAGAGUACUACAAGAUACUUUGAUAACUUAUGCGGACAGGUUCCCCCAGCCACCAGAAGGUAAAUACUAUCUUGUCGAUUCAGGUUAUCCAAAUAGAAAGGGCUACCUUGCACCUUAUAAGGGUCAGAAGUACCACAUUUCUGAAUGGCAAAAUGCGAGGCAACCUAUUGGUAGCAAAGAAGUUUUUAACUAUGCACACUCUUCGCUACGCAAUGUUAUAGAGCGAUCGUUUGGGGUGCUUAAAAUGAAGUGGAGAGUUCUAUUAAGUCUCCCUUCUUUUUCGCUUACCAAACAAUCCAAGAUAAUUAUUGCUUGUAUGACAUUGCAUAACUUCAUUAGAGAGAGUGCUCUACACGAUAGAGACUUUGAUGAAGUAGGACCUAGUAGCAGCAGUCAUGAUGUACCUUUAGGUGAGAGUAGUAGUACCACAUCUGAUGAGUUAGACAUGAGUGCUUUUCGAGAUGCAAUUGCUAAUGCUUUAGUGGCGUAGUUAAGUAUGACAAUGUAACGGGACUUAUGAUGUAAUCAACUGCACUAAUUAUUGU